rnacentral:lncRNA from 1 species
CUAACAUCUAAUAACAAAGCUGCUUAUAUUAGUGAUGUUUCUCACAGGACUGGGAGGGAAACAUAUAUUCAUUGUGACAAAAAGUAGGGAAUUGAAAUUGGAAGAGAGAGCUAUUAUGACAUGAUUGAACCUCCACAACUACCACCAUGACUUAGUGAUAUCAAAACAACAAAGCAACAAAGCUGUUGAACUUAGUGAUAUCACUCACUCCUAAAAGAUAACACAGUUGGUCCAAUCCCCGGUGCUGUGGGUGGUGUUAUUUCCGGUGGGAAUGUUGUCGGCGGCACAAUCUCCGGCCCCGGUGGCCGUGGUGGUACUACCUCGCGCCCAGGUGGCACAACAUCUGGUGGCUUAGGUGGCAAUGGCGUCUCAGGCCCAGGUGGCGAAAGAGGUGGUUUUGGGAUAUCUGGGUUUGGAAUUGUUGGAGGAGGAUCAACCACAAUCUCAGGGUCUAUUUCCGGUCCCCGUGAUGGAGGUUUGGUUCUAGGUACGUUAGGGAUCUCUGGUGGAGCCUUGCCCGAGUAUUCUGCGAAGAUUAGAAUUUUUGUGGUUGCGCGAUUGUUGAGGGGAAGAUGAAGAGACUUAGUUUUAGGUGUGUAGAAGAGGUUUCUACUGUUGUGGAAAGAGAUGGUUCUUUUGAUGAGAGAGGAGGAGAUUAAUGAUGACAUUCUAUAUCUUCAAUUUUUG